ACGAACGCUGGCGGCGUGCCUAAUACAUGCAAGUAGAACGCACAGUUUAUACCGUAGCUUGCUACACCAUAGACUGUGAGUUGCGAACGGGUGAGUAACGCGUAGGUAACCUGCCUGGUAGCGGGGGAUAACUAUUGGAAACGAUAGCUAAUACCGCAUAAUAUUAAUUAUUGCAUGAUAAUUAAUUGAAAGGUGCAAUUGCACCACUACCAGAUGGACCUGCGUUGUAUUAGCUAGUAGGUGAGGUAACGGCUCACCUAGGCGACGAUACAUAGCCGACCUGAGAGGGUGAUCGGCCACACUGGGACUGAGCCACGGCCCAGACUCCUACGGGAGGCAGCAGUAGGGAAUCUUCGGCAAUGGACGAAAGUCUGACCGAGCAACGCCGCGUGAGUGAAGAAGGUUUUCGGAUCGUAAAGCUCUGUUGUAAGAGCAGAACGGGUGUGAGAGUGGAAAGUUCACACUGUGACGGUAUCUUACCAGAAAGGGACGGCUAACUACGUG
rnacentral:rRNA from 1 species